GAUGAAGAACGCAGCGAAAUGCGAUACGUAAUGUGAAUUGCAGAAUUCAGUGAAUCAUCGAGUCUUUGAACGCACAUUGCGCCCCCUGGUAUUCCGGGGGGCAUGCCUGUCCGAGCGUCAUUGCUGCCCUCAAGCACGGCUUGUGUGUUGGGCCUCCGUCCUCCUCCCGGGGGACGGGCCCGAAAGGCAGCGGCGGCCCCGCGUCCGGUCCUCGAGCGUAUGGGGCUUCGUCACCCGCUCUUGUAGGCCCGGCCGGCGCUUGCCGACACAUCAAUCUUUUUUCCAGGUUGACCUCGGAUCAGGUAGGGAUACCCGCUGAACUUAAGCAUAUCAAUAAGCGGAGGA
rnacentral:misc_RNA from 1 species